rnacentral:rRNA from 1 species
UACGUAGGGUGCAAGCGUUGUCCGGAAUUAUUGGGCGUAAAGAGCUCGUAGGCGGUGUGUCGCGUCUGCUGUGAAAACUCAGGGCUCAACUCUGAGCUUGCAGUGGGUACGGGCACACUUGAGUGCUGUAGGGGAGACUGGAAUUCCUGGUGUAGCGGUGAAAUGCGCAGAUAUCAGGAGGAACACCGGUGGCGAAGGCGGGUCUCUGGGCAGUUACUGACGCUGAGGAGCGAAAGCAUGGGGAGCGAAC